rnacentral:rRNA from 1 species
UACGGAGGAUGCGAGCGUUAUCCGGAUUUAUUGGGUUUAAAGGGUGCGUAGGCGGCCGAGUAAGUCAGCGGUGAAAUUUUGCAGCUUAACUGUAACAGUGCCGUUGAUACUGGGGAGCUAGGAUUUGGUUGCUGUGGGUGGAAUGUGUGGUGUAGCGGUGAAAUGCUUAGAGAUCACACAGAAUAUCGAUUGCGAAGGCAGCUCACAAAGCCAAGAUUGACGCUGAGGCUCGAAAGCGUGGGGAGCAAACAGGAUUA